AGUUCUUGUACAAGAAUGGAUAGAAGGUUAAUUGUGGCUGCCCAGAUGGGUGAUGUUGACCUUUUGCUCAAUUUGAUCCAAUAUAAUCCCCUAAUUCUACACUAUGUAUCAUUAACAGAGGAAGAGACUCCAUUAUACAUUGCUUCUAUGGCUGGCCACCUCAAUUUUGUACGAAAAAUACUAGAAUUGAAGCCAAAUUUCGCCGAGGUGCUCAACCAAGACGGUUUUAGUCCCCUCCAUAUUGCCUCGGUGAAUGGGUAUUUAGAGAUUGUUAAAGAGCUCUUGAGCUUGAACGUGAAUCGUGAUCUGUGCACGCUGAUGGGUAGAGACAAGAGGAUACCCCUCCACUACGCGGCGAUCAAAGGUAGAAUUCAUGUUAUGGACAAAUUGCUUGCUGCUAGCCUGGAUUCUGUUGAACAUGUCACGGUUUGGGGAAAGACUGCCCUUCACCUUGCAGUCAAGAAUAAUCAAAUUGAAGCGUUGAGAGUGUUGGUGGAACAUCUCAAAAAUAUCAAGAAAGAGGGUGUUUUGAGCAUGGAGGAUGAGCAUGGCAGCACCAUCUUGCACCUAGCUAUCUUAGGAAGACAGUACGAGGUUGUCGACUUAUUGCUUGGUAAACAUUCCGUUACUAGGGCAGUGGUGGAAGUGAAUUCCUUAAACAAGAAUAACCUCACGGCUCUUGAUGUUUUAUUAAGUUUCCAAAGGAGAGCGGGCGAUAGAGAGAUUGAAGAUGUUCUUAGGCAAGCCAGUGCUAAGAGAGCUAGAGACUUGCACACAUCGACACUAGCAUUAACUAGCCAAAAUCAGGGUGUUACAACUAACCUAUCAAAUGACUGGUUAGUGACAAUUGAACGAACUCUAUCUCCAGCUAUACAGUUGCUAGACUAUUUCAAAUACGACAAGUUUAGAGAUUCGCCGAGUGAAACACGAAACACCAUGCUUGUGAUAGCUAUACUUAUUGCCACCGCAACAUAUCAACCGUGCUUAGCCCUCCAGGUGGUGUUUGGUAAGGCGAUACUACCAACAAUGGGACAAAUAGUACCAACAAUGGGACAGAUACUACCAAACCACAUAUUGCUGGACAAUCGGUCAUGAGUUCAUCGAGUGUGUUCUGGUGCUUGUUUCUCGUUCCCAACUCAGUAGGGUUCUUCACCUCUCUCUACAUGAUCAAUGUUCUCACACGUGGAUUCCCUUUGCAAUUAGAGUUGCAAGUUUCAAUGUGUUCAGGCACCGGACUGUUGCUAGGGGCAUCAGGCAGGCUCUUGUUUUGUCAGCCAACCAUUGUGCGUCACUGCAAGGUUCCAAGUGUGAUCAAGCUUAGGCUGCUUUGGGGGUGUCUUAGUUUCACCCAACUGUCACUGUUCUAUAAUACUGUAUAGACUGAAUGUUUUUGAACUAUAUUGUUUACACAGGGAUUAAGUCCCUAUCCUAAAAGAUUGUAAAUAUUGUGCAUAUUGUUUGGUACUGACUGUAUACAUGUAUGAAAAGUCUUUUGCAUGCAGACUGUUACAGCUCAUUGGACAACUUUAAUUACUGUAUUGGCUUCCGCCAGUCCCUGUACUCUGUAUUACUGUUCUACUGUUAAGUAGGCCUUCGAUAAUCUCGGAUUACUGGCUGGUUACGGUGCUAAACCCAUAGGGACGGGUUUGGGUCGUGACAUGAUACCUAUUGCAACUGUGGUGGCAAGGAAUCACCUCAAAUAGAUAGGAGUUGCAUAGCAAUGUACAAGCCUACAAAGUGCUUGAAUUAGAGGCAUGUUGUUCUAUUUCUUUUCUCUUUGUUUAUAUGAAAUUUAAUUAUUUGUGAGUA